UACGUAGGUGGCAAGCGUUAUCCGGAUUUAUUGGGCGUAAAGGGAACGCAGGCGGUCUUUUAAGUCUGAUGUGAAAGCCUUCGGCUUAACCGGAGUAGUGCAUUGGAAACUGGGAGACUUGAGUGAAGAAGAGGAGAGUGGAACUCCAUGUGUAGCGGUGAAAUGCGUAGAUAUAUGGAAGAACACCAGUGGCGAAAGCGGCUCUCUGGUCUGUAACUGACGCUGAGGUUCGAAAGCGUGGGUAGCAAACAGG
rnacentral:rRNA from 1 species